rnacentral:rRNA from 1 species
AUUGAACGCUGGCGGCAGGCCUAACACAUGCCAGUCGAGCGGAAGAAGGGAGCUUGCUCCUGGAUUCAGCGGCGGACGGGUGAGUAAUGCCUAGGAAUCUGCCUGGUAGUGGGGGAUAACGUCCGGAAACGGGCGCUAAUACCGCAUACGUCCUGUGGGAGAAAGUGGGGGAUCUUCGGACCUCACGCUAUCAGAUGAGCCUAGGUCGGAUUAGCUAGUUGGUGGGGUAAAGGCCUACCAAGGCGACGAUCCGUAACUGGUCUGAGAGGAUGAUCAGUCACACUGGAACUGAGACACGGUCCAGACUCCUACGGGAGGCAGCAGUGGGGAAUAUUGGACAAUGGGCGAAAGCCUGAUCCAGCCAUGCCGCGUGUGUGAAGAAGGUCUUCGGAUUGUAAAGCACUUUAAGUUGGGAGGAAGGGCAGUAAGUUAAUACCUUGCUGUUUUGACGUUACCAACAGAAUAAGCACCGGCUAACUUCGUG